GAAGUAAAUUUCUGAUUAACCUGGAUGCAUUGUAGUAGUGUAGUAUCAUACCAAUGCUGUAAGGCUGUACAAAAAUUAUUGCAAUAGGAAAUGUAUGUGUUUAUAAUAAAAAUCAUUCUUUAACAUAUGACAUUUGUCAUAUCUAAACUUAACUUUGAAUUUUUACAACAAUGUUAAUGGAGAUAAUCUAAUUUCUACAAUCUUACAAAUACGAGAUAUAUGAAGAACAUGGAA